AUGGCGAUAACGUACUUUCAUCGUAUGUUUGUAUCAUCUGUAUAUUCGUAUCUAUUCCAAAUAGAUCGCUGCAUAUCACACUGCUCCGACACCGAGGCUUUCACGUUAAUUAGCAAACAUUGAUCAUAUAACCAAGAGAGCUGCACCAGCAAUGUUAGCAUUCCUUUUCUGUUUCAACACCAUGAUUUAGCAGAAGGGAUAUGUCCUGGUGACGUUGCGUAACACGUGACCAUUCUACACAGAAGACGCUAUGCGGGAAUAUGCACAUGGGGAACGUGGAGUGUCUGGUACUUUGCCUCCUACUAUGGCUUGCCACUUCCUAUUCAGAAGCAGCAUAUUUUUGAGUAUUGUUGCGGAAAGGCGGCUGCUUCGAUUAGCUAUCAACCAUGGUGAUUUGCUGCAGUGCUUCUAACAGAUACAUGUAUUGUGCAUUCGGGAAUAUCAAGUUCUCUGUGGAUGUAUAUUUCACUGCACGGCCUUAACUUUAAUAAAAGGACAACGAGAAGCUUAACAUGAAUUUUAAAAGCACAAGAUAUAUGCCUAUU